AGCGAACGCUGGCGGCAGGCCUAACACAUGCAAGUCGAGCGGCCGUAGCAAUACGGCAGCGGCAGACGGGAGAGUAACACGUGGGAACGCGCCCUUCGGUUCGGGAUAACUCAGGGAAACUUGGGCUAAUACCGGAUACGCCCUUACGGGGAAAGAUUUAUUGCCGAAGGAACGGCCCGCGUCCGAUUAGCUAGUUGGUGAGGUAACGGCUCACCAAGGCGACGAUCGGUAGCUGGUCUGAGAGGAUGACCAGCCUCACUGGGACUGAGGCACGGCCCAGACUCCUACGGGAGGCAGCAGUGGGGAAGAUUGGACAAUGGGCGCAAGCCUGAUCCAGCCAUGCCGCGUGGGUGAUGAAGGCCCUAGGGUUGUAAAGCCCUUUCAGCGGGAAGAUAAUGACGGUACCCGCAGAAGAAGCCCCGGCUAACUUCGUGCCAGCCGCCGCAGUAAGAC
rnacentral:rRNA from 1 species